GGAUUGCUUCUUUUUUUUAGAAAUCACGUGUUCGCUUGUAGACGAUGGUUGCGUCUUUAGAAAGAAAGGACAUCAUGAAAUUUCUCAGCAUUUCUUUCGUUUUUAGUGUCAUUAUUGUAUUUAAUGUUUGCAGAGACACAGAAAUGAUUCUUCUGACACCAAUGGUAGAAGAUCUAACCCUUCUUGAUGAGAAAUAGCAACAGUUUGAGAGCAGGUUUUCACAGCUAAAUGCAGAGAUUGUUGAGCAGAAUGAAUUAAGAGAAAAGGAACUACCACUUGUUCAGGAUGUAGAAGCUAAAGUUAAAAGAACGAACCCAGAUCAUUCAUGGUCUUAACAAUCAUCAAAUGUCCUUGAAAGCUUCUAUAAAAAAAUGAAGGGGAAGGCCAAAGAAAUGCAUGAAAAUGGGACAGAAGCCGAGAAGGGAAUGGGUGGCUGACUUGGUAUCAAGAAACAACGACGCUGUGCGGAGCUUGCCAAUCCAUGUGGGUAGCGUCUCUCUGCUGGCAGUUCUCAUCAAUCGCGGUGUUUUGGGCAUACCUCCUGAUGCCAUUAGGUAAAAGUAAAAAUCUCUUAUUUUUUACUUACUUUCUAAUUGUAUAUACUACUAAAGGCUACACAGAGUGAGGAAAUGGUAAAUGGGAUGCAAAAUUCUGAUUGUGUUUGUGCAUGAGAUAAACUUUCUUUGGAAGUUUCAAUUUGGUCAUCCGAACAGAUUUAGUUGGGAAUUCAAAUGCCCUGAAUCGAGUAGAAGUAAAAUUGUAUGUUUGAAAAGUGAUUUGCUUAUUUCCUUUAAA